rfam:Corchorus olitorius cultivar O-4 contig03486, whole genome shotgun sequence.
GUCAGUAACCCCGCCCUAUCGGACGAGGCUAAAAAAGAAAAAUUAGAUAGUUUUCUGAAUAAGCCUUCGACUUGGAUUAACUGACCAGCUUUAGUCUGUGAAACGGCAAGUUUUACAGACUACGUUAAAAAACAGAUGACACCGUAAAAUGCUUCUCCAGUUUUACGCCAUGUCGUAAUACAUUAAACAUUUCUUUGGGGUAAGGAAAAGUGUGUACUACAUGGUAAAAUGUAAUUUCUUCGAAAUUGCAUCAAAACCGAAAUGUUUUUUAACUUUGGCGAGGAGAUAGCUAG